GAUGAACGCUGGCGGCGUGCCUAAUACAUGCAAGUCGAGCGAACAGACGAGGAGCUUGCUCCUCUGACGUUAGCGGCGGACGGGUGAGUAACACGUGGAUAACCUACCUAUAAGACUGGGAUAACUUCGGGAAACCGGAGCUAAUACCGGAUAAUAUAUUGAACCGCAUGGUUCAAUAGUUAAAGACGGUUUUGCGGUCACUUAUAGAUGGAUCCGCGCCGCAUUAGCUAGUUGGUAAGGUAACGGCUUACCAAGGCAACGAUGCGUAGCCGACCUGAGAGGGUGAUCGGCCACACUGGAACUGAGACACGGUCCAGACUCCUACGGGAGGCAGCAGUAGGGAAUCUUCCGCAAUGGGCGAAAGCCUGACGGAGCAACGCCGCGUGAGUGAUGAAGGUCUUCGGAUCGUAAAACUCUGUUAUUAGGGAAGAACAAAUGUGUAAGUAACUAUGCACGUCUUGACGGUACCUAAUCAGAAAGCCACGGCUAACUACGUG
rnacentral:rRNA from 1 species